AAGACUGUAUUUUCAGGAAUCAUUUCUAUAGUUCUUUACUUGGAAAUGUGUUUUGAAAGUGUUUGUCUUCCAACCCACGAUGAUGAGGUGUAAUGCUCUUUUCUGAGAGUGAGUCAAGGGUAGAACUGUGAAUUUAGUCACAAUCUGUCGUUGAUGAGCGUUAAUAUUGUUUUUGGCAAUGUUGAAGAAAGGGGUAUGAUCUGAGUGGUA
ensembl:snoRNA